rnacentral:rRNA from 1 species
UACAGAGGUCUCAAGCGUUGUUCGGAUUUAUUGGGCGUAAAGGGCGCGUAGGCGGCGGGGUAAGUCGGGUGUGAAAUCUCAGGGCUCAACCCUGAAACUGCACUUGAUACUGCUCUGCUUGAGGACUGGAGAGGAGACUGGAAUUCACGGUGUAGCAGUGAAAUGCGUAGAUAUCGUGAGGAAGACCAGUGGCGAAGGCGGGUCUCUGGACAGUUCCUGACGCUGAGGCGCGAAGGCCAGGGGAGCAAACAGG